rfam:Salmo salar isolate Sally breed double haploid chromosome ssa16, whole genome shotgun sequence.
UGUAUUCACUACUGUAAGUUGCUGUGGAUAAGAGCGUCUGCUAAAUGACUAAAA